GUAAUGUUUAACCAACAUCGGUGUGUCAUACUUGAGCAAUGUACCUUGCAAGUAAACGUUUAAUAAGUAUUUAAUAUUAAAAAUGAAUAUUCUACUCAAACUCAAUUAAUAAACAGAUAUGCAAGCGGAUAGGAGUCCGUCGUUCAAAAUAGAAAUAAUACCAUUUAAACAUCGUUUAGUUUUACCUCAAAAUCAUGCUUCAUGUGUUCAUUGCCGUUGUGACAGACAUAGGCAACGCCAUGUUCUGGCUUCACCUUCGCAGGAAGCAUAUCACCAUGAUGCAAGGCACGUCCAACAACAAGAUUCAAGCCAUCCAAGUCCUUGCCGACACAGAUCAUUCCCGGUACGAAGUAGCGAGCACCCGUGAAUCUAACCCAUUUAUAUCCUGCAGAAGUAGUCGGUUGAAAAGUUGGUGGAAUGGAAUGUAUAACUGUCCUAUGUAUAAAUUUAGCAACCCCAAAAUGCCUGUUAAAACCUGUUAAAAUAAAUAUCAUUCUUUAUUCUUCUCUAUCAUUCUUAUUUAUCAAUAAAACGAAGUCGAUCGAAGUAAAAAUAAACGAUAUGAAUAAAUAUGACUACUGUAAAAUAUACACACAAGAAAAAAAAAAAGAAAAAUUAGUACAUAACUUCAAAUUCAUUCAGCAAUCAUGGGUUGCAGAGUAAAGUUUGCAACUGUGACAUAACAGAGGGCUGAGAAUUUCAUGUACGAGAGAUAAUCUUUGGAUUAAUUCUUGAUUUUCCUAUGAAGUUACUAUCUUUCUCUGUCGUACAAAUAUAAUAUAACUUAACGUUUUCAGCCGUUUUCAGUCAGAAGCGUUGCUCCGUAACUGCAUAGUUAUUUAAACCGGCAGCUCCGACAAACGACAUCAAUUGCUGAAACCAACGUCCCUAAGUUUGUAUCAACAUAGCGAGAAGGAUCGAGGAAGAUAGGCGUUUUAGAAAUUGCUCGGGCUUAUCAG
rnacentral:misc_RNA from 1 species